AUUGAACGCUGGCGGCAGGCCUAACACAUGCAAGUCGAACGAGUGGCGGACGGGUGAGUAAUGUCUGGGAAACUGCCUGAUGGAGGGGGAUAACUACUGGAAACGGUAGCUAAUACCGCAUACCAUCAGAUGUGCCCAGAUGGGAUUAGCUUGUUGGUGGGGUAACGGCUCACCAAGGCGACGAUCCCUAGCUGGUCUGAGAGGAUGACCAGCCAAACUGGAACUGAGACACGGUCCAGAAGCCUACGGGGGGGAAGAGUGGGGAAGAUUGCAAAAUGGGCGCAAGCCUGAUGCAGCCAUGGCGCGUGUAUGAAAAAGGCCUUCGGGUUGGAAAGGAAUUUCAGCGGGGAGGAGUUACCCGCAGAAGAAGCACCGGCUAACUCCGUGCCAGCAGCCGCGGUAAUUC
rnacentral:rRNA from 1 species